rnacentral:lncRNA from 1 species
CAUAGGGACGUGUUAUUGAGAAGCAACUUUUGCUUGGUUUUCAGAGAAAUGGAAUCAUCGUAUCGCUGAUCUACGUAAACAAACUGAAGAAUUGUCUGAAAGAAAAUAUGACAUGAACUUAUGAAUUCAACAGGUGAAGAUUUACAACUUGAUAAAUCAACUUUGUCAGGUACGUCUUCAGUCAAGUCAGAUUAGAAGAUUAUGUGAGGUAAUUAACACUUAACAUUGAUUUAAUGGUAGCUUCCACAUGAAAUAGUAUGCCUCUAAGUAUUAAUUAUGUCCUAGGACAGGAGAAUUCAUGUUGUCAAAAUUCUCAUACUCUCUAGAACAAUAAACUCAUUUUCUUUUUAUUAGUAAAUAUUGCAUUUAUGGGUAGACAAAACUGAAAGAACAAUAUUUGUUCUACUUUUGAGAUGCAAGAUUCAUCUGGCAUAAUGCAUUGAACAGGUUAUUAUUGAAGUCUACACCAGUCAACUGAAUAAGCAUUCAUCAAAUGUCCAUGAUAUGCAGGACAUAAGUUUUCUUUUAGAGUAUGGAACCAUGCAUAUUAUCUUUUAAUUAGAUGAUUUAGUUAGAUAUGUUUUUAAAGAACUAGAAAUAUAAUUGUUUUUCUUGUUUUGGCUCUGGAGUGGAGUGGGGAUGAAACAGAAUGGAUUCACACUUGUUUAGAUUUACUAAAAUGGAAAGAUUGCAGCAAGAUCAUAUCCCUAGUCUCCCUAUAGCAAAUGUC